AUGAACCGCCGCCGCCGCCCACGCUCGCCGCCGGCGCCGCUCGAGAACGACGACCUCCUCUCCGAGAUCCUCCUCCGCCUCGCCCCUCUGCCGUCCUCCCUCCCUCGCGCCUCCGCCGUCUGCAAGCAAUGGCGCCGCCUCGUCUCCGACCCCCGCUUCCUCCGCCGCUUCCGCAUCCACCACAGCCGCAACCCUCCCCUCCUCGGUUUCUUCGGAGAACAUUACUUCGAGCCUACAAUGGAUCCCCCCAAUCGUAUUCCUACCCCGGAUGACAGCUUCUACUCGUUCCUCGACGAGGACGACGGGCGCUUCCAACUCUUCGGAUCCCGCCAUGGCCUCGUGCUUAUCUUCGACAGAUCGCGGAACCAGGUCCUGGUACUGGACCCCUUCAACGGCGACAGGCACCGCAUCGCCGUUCCGCCCGAUUUCGAUGAGAGGGAGACCUCGAUCGGCGGGACGGUGUUUCGCGUUGCCGGAGACGAGCAACAUUUCCAGGUGGUCUUGGUAACCACUCAGGUAUACGAGCAAGGAGAUACAGCGAUCGCCCGUGUUUACUCGUCGGAGACUGGCGGAUGGGGUGCUCUCAUCUCAAUACUGCUUCCACCCAAGCAUCCUACUUCCGUGAUUUGUACGGGAUUUCCCAGUAUCCUAGUUGGGCAUUCCCUGUACUGGUUGCUCUCUGACAUGAAAAUUAAGGAAAGAUCGGAUGGCAUCCUUGAGUUUGAUUUGGAGAGGCAGGUCCUAUCUCUGUUACCAGUGCCGGUGGAUGCCAUUCCUACCAAACUCCAGCUUAUGCAGGCAGUGGGUGGUGGCCUUGGUAUUUUCUUUCUGUCAAAAUUCAGCGUCCAAUUAUGGAAGAUGGAGACCGAUUCUGAUGGUGUUCCUUCAUGGGUGCUAGCAAGAACUGUUGAACUGGAUAAGCUACUUCUCAUGAGUUCAAGGAAGAAGAAGAGAGAGCCCCUAUGCAUAAAGGGGUUUGCUGAGUACAAUAGUGUGGUGUUCCUACGGACACCUACCGACCUCUUCACGAUCCAGCUUGAGUCGCUGCAGUUCAAGAAAGUUUCCAGAACCAACUUCGUGGCUCGCUAUCAUCCGUUCGAAAAUGUCUAUGUUGCAGGCAUGUGCAUUGGUGGUGGACAUGAUGGAGCUGAAGUUUUGCACAAUACGUAA
rnacentral:rRNA from 1 species